GAUCAUCGCUCAGGACGAACGCUGGCGGCGUGCCUAACACAUGCAAGUCGAACGGAACUGUUUUGAAAGAUUUCUUCGGAAUGAAUUUGAUUUAGUUUAGUGGCGGACGGGUGAGUAACGCGUGAGUAACCUGCCUUCAAGAGGGGGGAUAACAUUCUGAAAAGAAUGCUAAUACCGCAUGACAUAUCGGAACCACAUGGUUCUGAUAUCAAAGAUUUUAUCGCUUGAAGAUGGACUCGCGUCCG
rnacentral:rRNA from 1 species